rnacentral:rRNA from 1 species
AUUGAACGCUAGCGGCAGGCCUUACACAUGCAAGUCGAACGAGUGGCGGACGGGUGAGUAAUAUAUCGGAACGUGCCCAGUAGAGGGGGAUAACUACUAGAAACAGGGCUAAUACCGCAUACCAUCGGAUGGGCCCAUAUCGGAUUAGCGAGUAGGUGGGGUAACGGCUCCCCUAGGCAACGAUCCGUAGCUGGUCUGAGAGGAUGACCAGCCACACUGGGACUGAGACACUGUCCAGACUCCUACGGGAGGCAGCAGUGGGGAAUAUUGAACAAUGGGCGAAACCCUGAUCCAGCCAUCCCGCGUGUAUGAAGAAGGCCUUCGGGUUGUAAAGUACUUUUAGCGGGGAGGCGGUAUCUGCAGAAUAAGCAUCGGCUAACUACGUGCCAGCAGCCGCGGUAAUAC